ensembl:rRNA 5S_rRNA 5S ribosomal RNA
GCUUACAGCCAUAUAUCCUUCUCAUCUGAUCUCAGAAGCUAAGCAGGGUUGUCCCUGGAUAGGACUUGGAUGGGAGACCACCUGGGAAUACCGGGUGGUGCGAAAA